AUUGAACGCUGGCGGCAGGCCUAACACAUGCAAGUCGAGCGAGCGGCGGACGGGUGAGUAAUGUCUGGGAAACUGCCUGAUGGAGGGGGAUAACUACUGGAAACGGUAGCUAAUACCGCAUCCCAUCAGAUGUGCCCAGAUGGGAUUAGCUAGUAGGUUGGGUAACGGCGCACCUAGGCGACGAUCCCUAGCUGGUCUGCGAGGAUGACCAGCCACAUUGGAACUGAGACACGGUCCAGACUCCUCCGUGAGGCAGCAGUGGGGAAUAUUGCACAAUGGGCGCACGCCUGAUGCAGCCAUGCCGCGUGUGUGAAGAAGGCCUUCGGGUUGUAGAGCACUUUCAGCGGGGAGGCGUUACCCGCAGAAGAAGCACCGGCUAACUCCGUGCCAGCCGCCGCGGUAAUAC
rnacentral:rRNA from 1 species